UCCUUGCUUUAGAAAAGGUGGGGUGGGCAAGGAGGGAGGGAGGAUAGUUUUGCUUCCUGGGACCCAAAGGAGCUUUUUCAUGUCUUCCUGUUUUUUAGCUACUCAUUUAGAGUUCCUGUCUAGGAAGCAGGACUUGGUUCAAGUAUGCUAGUGUAAGGUAGACCUGAGAAGUCUCUGGGGAGAACUGGGUACAUUGUUUCUCUUUGGUAUCAGCUUUUGGGAAUCAAAAUAUUUCCUUCUUUCCUAUCUUUCCUUUCUCUGUUCUCUUCUUUCCUGUAUUCUCCUGCUAUUGCCACUUGUUCCUUUAAGGAGUACUGUGGCAGCCAGCCUCCAAGAUGACCUCAGUGAUCCUUAUCUCCUGGCAUUCACACCCUUAGUAGUUCCCCUCCCUCACUGAAUCAAAGAUAUCCCUGUGUAACUAAUAGAAGAGGUACAUGUGUGUAGGAACUGAGGCUCUUAGCCAAAAUCCAGUGCCCAACUUGCCAGUCAUGAGAAUGAGCUGUCUUAGAAGUGAAUCUAUAGAAGUGAAUCUACUAGCACCAGUCAGGCCAUCAGAUGACUGCAGCCCUAGUGGACAUGUGACCUCAACCUUAGGAGAGACUUUCGGACAGACUAGCGAGCUGAGCCACUCUCAAAUUUGUGACUCACAGGAACUGUGAGGGAUAACAAAUGAUUAUUGAUGUUUUAAGCCACAAGUUUUGGAAUGAUUUGUUAUACAGCAUUAGAUAACCUGACCAAGUACCAUUGUUGGUCUGUUGGAAAGGACAAUUUCUUUGCUUGCUUUUUUUCAUUAGUCACCAGCUGUAUUCAAAGACCUUUUACCUUCUAAGGUAAUGCUACUAGGAAGCUUGGAUUAGCUGCAGGUAAUAUUGAAAUAUGUGGUGAUUGCUUUGAGGGAAUAAUGUGGUGGGGGGGGGAGUGCCGAUGUGGCAGUUCAUUGUAGUGUUGAUACGUUGAAUAUGCCUGGCUCUAGGAUUGUAACUUUUCCCUACAGGGUUAAGUUAUAGAGUGUGUGAUUUUUGGGAUACAUACGCAUGUUGCUCUGGGAACAGCUUUCAAUAGUAAGGAGGAGGGAAAGAAGGGGACCUCAGCAUUGGGCACUUGGGAGGUAGGGAGGAGUGUGGUCCAUUCAAAGAUAAACAGGUUCAUUUGUUGUGGUUGGUUUUUCUGUCUUUAGAAGGGUAGAUUAUUUUACAUAAGCCAGAUACCACAGCCUCUUUAGUUUUCCCUUUCUCCUCUCCUCUUUCCCAUACUCCCUUAAAACACUGAUUUGCCUUUGGGGCAUUGGAAUGAAGCCUACUGAGGGCUGGGAACACAGGAGCUGGAUAAAGAGAAUAUCCUAAAGAAAGGUCCCUUGGGUGAAAGGGAAUGCAGCUUGGGAGCUGCUCAAGCCACAUUUACUUCCUCUGCCUCUUGCUCCUGCCUGUACGGUAGAGUCUUCUUCCCUGCCUCUCCAAACUACUGGGGUUUCUCUGGUGUGGUAGGGGUAGCUGGGUGGUGCGUUGUGGGAAUUUUGGUUAUGUAGAUGGUUAGAUUUGGUUAUGUAGAUUCCCAACCUUCCCAGGUUGGAAAUCGGGGAUCCGAAUCUUAAUAUGUUAUAUUUAUUUCUACUACUCGGUGGAUAUAGGUUUCAGUCACUGAGUAAGCCCUAGUGGGACAUGAGACUGAAAUCUAACACAUCUCUGUCACGUAUGAUUCAUCCCUCUUCUGAUCACUCAUAAUUGCUUGGCACCUCCAUUAUGGCAUUUAAUGCUUUCCAGCAUAUGCUUAUGUAUGUGUAUUUUCUUACCUUUUCAGUUAGAUUAUAAGCUCAGAUAAUUAUGUAGCUCUGUUUCCUUGUCCUGCAGAGGGUCCUGCCAAUAUUCCUGAAGGUGAAGCCUGAAUCAUGUCUCAGUUUGGUCUGUCAAUGUCACCUUUCAUCUCUCUUUCAAGGGCAUUAUUUUUGCUUUUUUAUUUAUUUAUUUAUCACAAUGCUGAAGACAUCAUGCAGUACAGAUUUAAACAGCUUGUGUCACCAGCUUCCUUCCCAGACUUAGGCACCAAGACCUUCCAGACCCAGGCUGAGUUAGGGCUUCACAUUGUUUACCAGGAUCGGGGCCUGAUUAAAGAUUAUCUCCAGAAUCAAUGAACCCUGAUGAUGUGAUUCCAAGGGCACUUAAGGAAUUGGCUGCCCUGGUUCAUUAUUAGCAAAGCAUUAGCUGUUGCUUUAGAGAACUCGGGAAGAAGCAUUUGCUGUCUUGCUUAUCUUUAAAAGAGGAAUACGAAUGAUCUUGGAAAUUAUAGACCCGUUAGUUUACUGUGAUUCCAGAAAAGAUACUUGACCUGAUCGUCAGAUAAUCAAUCAGCAAACAGCUAGAAGAGUGUGGGGCACUGAGUAAUAACUUACAUGGGUUUGUGAAGAAGAGCAAAUCCUGUCAGAUCAAUCUAACUUCUUGCUGUGACAUAGUGAUGGAUUUGAGUGGAUCUAGGGCAAGUGAUAAAUGUAAUGCAUCUUGACUUCAUUAAACCUCUACAAUGCUGUGAUCAACAGUUGGGAAGGACAAAAAAGAAAGAAUUUUAAAUGGAAGCAGGAAAGGUUGAGAUUUGGGAUGAGAAUGAACUGCCAGAAGAGACAG